UACAGAGACUGCAAGCGUUGUUCGGAUUCACUGGGCGUAAAGCGCGCGUAGGCGGCCCGGUAAGUCCGUUGUGAAAGUCAAAGGCUCAACCUUUGAACGCCGAUGGAUACUGCCGGGCUAGAGUCCGGAAGAGGCGAGUGGAAUUCCUGGUGUAGCGGUGGAAUGCGCAGAUAUCGAGAGGAACACCUGCGGCGAAGGCGGGUAGCUGGGCCGACACUGACGCUGAUGCGCGAAAGCCAGGGGAGCGAACGGG
rnacentral:rRNA from 1 species